GGCAAGGUGGCCGAGCGGUCUAAGGCGCUGCUUUCAAGCUUAGUCAGCUUCCUGAAAAAGGGUCCAGCAGUGAGGAAACUCUCACGUGUUCGAAUCACGUCCUUGUCA
rnacentral:tRNA from 1 species